rnacentral:rRNA from 1 species
GAUGAACGCUGGCGGCGUGCCUAAUACAUGCAAGUCGAACGAAACUUCUUUAUCACCGAGUGCUUGCACUCACCGAUAAAGAGUUGAGUGGCGAACGGGUGAGUAACACGUGGGCAACCUGCCCAAAAGAGGGGGAUAACACUUGGAAACAGGUGCUAAUACCGCAUAACCAUAGUUACCGCAUGGUAACUAUGUAAAAGGUGGCUAUACUACCGCUUUUGGAUGGGCCCGCGGCGCAUUAGCUAGUUGGUAGGGUAAAGGCUUACCAAGGCAAUGAUGCGUAGCCGAAUUGAGAGGUUGAUCGGCCACAUUGGGACUGAGACACGGCCCAAACUCCUACGGGAGGCAGCAGUAGGGAAUCUUCCACAAUGGGCGAAAGCCUGAUGGAGCAACGCCGUGUGGGUGAAGAAGGUCUUCGGAUCGUAAAACCCUGUUGUUAGAGAAGAAAGUGCGUGAGAGUAACUGUUCACGUUUCGACGGUAUCUAACCAGAAAGCCACGGCUAACUACGUG